CGAACUCACAACCACAUGUAUACCAGGCGAGGUAGUUAAUAUCUCGCCACCAUGGCGUUUGCGUUGCAGGUUAAAAAACAAUAUAACCUUAUUGUUGUAGAGUAAAAUGUAGAGUUCAAAUGUUCGUGACUGAAUCUAAAUAAUUGUAGAGUUAACUAAUCUAUGUCCAGUAAAUUAGUUACAUAAUAGAGUUUAUAUUUGGAUUUAAAAAUAUAAUCGCAAUGGACUAUUUAAGUGAAUGUGAAGGGAAAUCAUUGAAGAAAAACGAUUUAUAUUACAUUUUUAAUAAAACCAAUCAUGCAAAUUAGGAAUUUUCAUUGUAUUUUAAUUAAUCCAUUAUGAAAAUAUGUCCAUUUUGUCACGGUUAGUUUCAAAAUGAUGGGAAGUGAGUUAUUGAUUUUUUAUUUUAAGCUGAAGCAAAAUAGCAAUUUAGUAAUGUGCUAAAUAUGAAACAAGUCCACGAAUCAAUUUUAGCGAACACGUUCAUUUCAUUAUAAUUUCCCAGGGUGAACCGUUUUUGCUUUGAUGAAUUUAAAUCGAAGAGAACGUUUGCCAUGAAAGAAGCGAAUUGUAACAUUUUUGUAAUAUACUGUAGAAAGCUCAGAUUGGUGGGACGUGUCAGUCUGUAUGCCUUCACUUCUGACACAACCGCAGGUGGCUGUUUGUCACCUUUUACUUUCACACAUUCUGACCCUGGUUUAGUAAAGACUGGGUCACCCUUGUGUGUGCUGUUUCAUCGCCCUGUCUCCUCCAAAAUGGGAUUUCAACCCACGGCCUUGUGUUUUGUGGCCGCUCAAAUCACUAUUAAUCUACCUUCCGUUCUCACGAAGCACAAUGAUUUUCAGCGCUGGGUGAUUUCCAUUGUACAAUGCCAGGCUGUGUGGCUUCACACCAAAGGUGAAUGGUGCCAUUAUUACAGGCAAGCCAUAUUCUGGACCAUAAAAUGGCCCACAUUUGACAAAAGUAAAAACAUUCCAAAGGACAUCUGUGUUUGGACAUUUCCUUACCUCAUUUCACCCCUUUUAACAGGGAGGCUUGCUGAAUAUCUGAAACCCACUGAGUUAAUAAGUAACCCGUUCACCUGAUUUUGCUUUCAUAUUUGAUAUUGAAAUAGAUUUCGCUUUAAUUCGGCUAAAUCAUAAAAAAAAAUGUCAUCAGAGUCUGGAAUGUCUGCCUCGCGUUUAGGUAUUGCCAAACUCAAUCGAAACGAAGACUAUCCGUUCAUAUUUAAUACAUCGAAAACAAUGUUCUGGCGACUGCACAGCAAGCAAGGCAAUUUGUGGUUAUCUAUUUAGACUUUGCCGAUAAUUACAUCCAAUACUACAACGUUGUAGUUUACAUGAGUGUGGAAGCAGCCGUAUGUUUUCCUCGGAAUGAUAAAGCGAUGGCCCAAAUUUGGGCAGUACAAUCGGUCCCUGACCUUAAAAUGUGUUUGCAUUAAAUUUUUACUCUUUCAUUUGUUCACUAAAAUUGCCAAACGCGCUGACCCUGUGCAUGAAAUGAAUAUGCCGUGGCCUCUCUGUUUAUGUUCCUGCCAGCGACACAUUCAAUUCAUGGAACUGUAUACGUUUUCCUUCGUAUGAAUGUAUUGAAUAAGUAAACAAAACAUCGAGCUAAAGGGCAAAAGAAUCACAAUAUGGCAAAUACGACUUUUAAAACAAAAAUCCCUUAACAUGUUAUUGAUGCUAAUAUAAACAGCUAAAUGUUUAACACGGUUCCUUGUAAAUUAAAAUGUUGUUAUACCGCAUUGUGCAACAUUACAUGUAACCCAGAAACAGAUUAAAAAAAAAACGACGAUUAAAAUAUAAAUGUAAGCAAAACACAAAAUGAAUCAGAAUAUGUAUUUACGGGGGGAAUCCGGUGAGCUUGUGGAGCUCUUAUUCACAGAUUUCUAGUAGGCUUGCGUUCUCAACAACUCUAGUCCAAGUCAGCAGCAGGUGGCACUCACGCAUUACUUUACAAUUUAUAUUUGCCGUAAAACCAAGCAUCAACUUCUUACGUCCGGAACGUACAACGCCGAAAAGUGUUCACAUCCUGCCCACGUUACAAUUUCAUUACUGUUAUUCAUAUUAUUUAUGAAUUUAGUUGUGGCAGGGCCCUUUGGCUGCCUAUGUAAGCCCGGCAUGAUGAAUUAUUAACAAACUUAGCCGCGGCACGUCACCGUGCUUUGUGUGUGUGCCGUUGUUAUGGAGACGAGCCAGCCGACAGAGAAAUUUUUUAAAAAAAUCACGUAUCGUCCCAUACAGUUUUAACUUACGUGCGGCCCGGAUUCGAUCGCCCUAUAGUUUAUAGCGCGCACGGGAUUGUGUUUGAAGUUGCGCGCUGUCUUCGGAAGCCGGGUGACAUGGACAUGACGGUGUCGGAUGCACCGGGGAGAGUGGCUCGGGAGAAGCACACGUGGGAGUUCAUGCGGAUCUACCCGAGCAUCUUCCGAAAGCUGAUGCCUCCAGCUCCCAGGAUUCCGAGGGGCACAGAACAGCAACGACACGUGAGACCGUGUGGGACACCGUCAACGAGUGCAUCCUGACUGGCCUCGACGAGGACUCCCGGGCUCUUUCCUCCUCCACGCUGCUGAUGAAGCAUCCGUCACCUGGGCCUCUACUGCCCGUGUUGCGGCGAACGAGACGAGAAAUGCAAGCGCCUGCCUCGCGUCUAGCCGAGUUGUAUGCAGCCUUCGGAACGACGCGGACAAUUUGUCAAGGUGAUACUGAUGUCUACACAAGCCUCCGCAGCUCGGGGAAAAUUUUUUUUUUAUUCUAAAUGUUUUACCGGGCAUGGCGAGAGACGUUACAGUUGACUGUUUUGACACGAUGGCUGUACAGAAAUGACCACGGUAUUGGAGGGGCUGGAACAAUGCUCUGCGCUUAGAAAUUGUAAAUGUGUGUACUUUUUGUGGUAUUAAUACGUACAUUUUUGCAAAAUUUCCUGUGAAAAUCAACGUAACGCAAGGAAGCAGAGGAAACAUUUGAAAGUCACUCGUCAUCUAGCAUGGAGAGCUUUGGUGUACCAUGUCCUUAAAGGGCUGUUGAAUUCCUACACUGAACAUGCUUCAAUACACCUCUGCAGGACACGCCGCCUUGUGCGAACAUGGGGCCACACACGACUUAGCCAGAUUUAUUUCCUUUGCAGUUAACCAUUGCAGAAUUCUGCAUAAUGUAAAUACAAGGCAUUUCUCUAAGUGGACCACACUGUGGGUACAGCAUUCCACAAAGCAUUCACUUUCAUGUGGCACAAGCUUACCAUCCUGGCCAUUACUAACCAUGUACCAUUGCAAAAAUGUCAAACACCUCCACUAAUAUGGCAUUUAAAAAUCACACCUUCACUGAUUUGCAGAAUCUGUCUGUGCUUUCAGUUGGUACAGUGAAACAAUUAUAUUGUCACAAAAAUUAACUGAACUUCAAGUUUUCAAACGUUCUCUGCAUUCCCCAAUCUGGAACUCCGGGGUAUCUAAUUUUCGACGACUUGGAUAGCUCUGAUCAACAUGACCCUUCAAAUAAUAUAGUGCCUGACUAAAUUAAAUUGUGCGAGACAGUAAAUCUGGCGGUGUCUCACACCUACGAUUUGUGGAAUAUGGCAUGUUUUAUAGGGGUGUUUCAACUGUACAUUAUUUUUUCACGAGAUUUAUUUUUUUACCGAUAUUAAACACAAAAUAAAUUGCACCACACCCUCAAUGAACGUGAACAGCUGUGUGUCGUUGGUUUAACGACUGUCAAAACACCACAGUUUUUCCACACCACUGAACAUUCCGGCACGGGGGUGUAUGCUACAGUGUAGAUAAACAAAACAAAUGAAUAAAUUGUCGUAAUUGACUAUCUGAUUUAAUAAUUUUCCUGCGAUUUCCCAUUUGUUCUCAUUUGUCAUGCCAGGAAAUUGGCCACAUAAUUUUCAACCUCAUGCUACCCGUCAAGCUAUGGCCGAGCCAUCGAUUUUAUGAUUUGAUUAAUUCUUUCGAGUCCUCGUACGUACGUAAACAAUCCCUCAGGUCUAAUGGUCUUGCCCUGUCAAAAUAACACAGGUCAAGUAACAAACUGUGCCGUCUCUGUCUCCGCCCUAGGAUGACGACGGUGGCGGUGGUGUAUCUGAAAACGAUUAAACAUGGGGAACGUAAAGUGUAAGAAACCCUCCGUCAUUUUAGGAUCAUCAAAUAAAGGAGGAUGCUGCCUAGGUCUAACGGUUAGCAUGCUGUGCUUGCAAUACAAAGCUUGCAAUACAAAGCUUGCCUGUUUGAUCUACUGACGUGGCAUUUAAACUGCGAAGCAACGGUCGAGAUUCUUCAAUCUCCUUGUCUCUGUUGGCCCAAUUCCUACGCCACAGUGAGCCCAUCGGUAGUUGCACGUCGUGGGAUGAAGUGUGGGUUACCUCUACAUCUUUAGAGACAUAUGGCCAGUAUGGAAGAGUAGGCCGAGCUCUGUAUGGUUUCCUCUAGCGGUGAGGCCCUUCUCCCAGCAGUGACAUGACCAAGCAUUUGCAGGGCUGCGCCGUUAUUACCGACUUUUUUUUAACAAACAGAGGACAUGCGGCGUGGCAAAACUUAAUUCGUUACUUGAGGCGAGACUCAUCAAUUUCAUGCCAAAAGCAUAUUUUAAAUAUAGAGGCUAACAGUGUAAUAAUGCUGCUUUACUAGGAAGCCAAUUAUGGGAAACUGUCGGAAUUCUUAAUGGUGGUGGAUUGGGUGGUGUGAUUCAUUUCAGGGUAUUAAUAGUCAUUGGGAGCCACAUUGAUUUAAUUGUGCAUGACGAUUUCACUGGCUUCCCGAAAGACGUAAAAAAAAACACAACGUUGGAAACUUAUCAGAGCACGUCUUUUUUUCUUUGGCCAGCACCGUCCGUUGCAACAUGAACACGAGAUCCAAUCUGCAUCCCAAGCAAAAACCUUCACCUCUCUCGCCACUCCGUCCUGAUUCAUCUUUCUCUUCCGCAACCACUCUCUUCGAUCACUUUGCCUUGGCGAUGCUCGUGGAGGUGGGGCGGGAGCAGCAAAAGUUCGAGGAGGCCACGUGUGUCCGCCAAGACGGCCGCCCCAGGCAGAAAGGCGGAACAGCUCUCGUCGCACCCGGGAAGAGGACAUAAUCCCAGUCCUACGCAAGAGCCCAUUUGAACGGAUUGAGGCGGACCGCCAGGCGGUGUCCCGGGCGCUCCAUUCCUGAGCUGUCCUCCAAGCUGAGCGCUGAUGAGCUCAGGACCUUGAGCUGCGGCAUCACUCUGGAGAGCUGGCCCGCUGGUGUCGCAGGUAAGAACCACAGUGUCACGUGCACCAACCGCACACUCGUGAAUGCAAGCUGCAGUCAUGGGUUAAAAAGCCAUCGUAUCGGUCUGCUUGUCAUGGCUCUUCUCUUCACGGCUAUUGUCUCGUCCUCGCGGCAGCGGCUUGAGGCUAACCAUCGGACACAAAUGGUCACAGCGUCGCGCGUUUUCAGAUGCGCUUCUGUGGCUGUCUGGAACGUUCUCCCUUCUGACAUUAGGAAGCCACUGGAGCUAUGCA